rnacentral:rRNA from 1 species
GACGAACGCUGGCGGCGUGCCUAAUACAUGCAAGUUGAGCGCUGAAGGUUGGUACUUGUACCAACUGGAUGAGCAGCGAACGGGUGAGUAACGCGUGGGGAAUCUGCCUUUGAGCGGGGGACAACAUUUGGAAACGAAUGCUAAUACCGCAUAAAAACUUUAAACACAAGUUUUAAGUUUGAAAGAUGCAAUUGCAUCACUCAAAGAUGAUCCCGCGUUGUAUUAGCUAGUUGGUGAGGUAAAGGCUCACCAAGGCGAUGAUACAUAGCCGACCUGAGAGGGUGAUCGGCCACAUUGGGACUGAGACACGGCCCAAACUCCUAUGGGAGGCAGCAGUAGGGAAUCUUCGGCAAUAGACGAAAGUCUGACCGAGCAACGCCGCGUGAGUGAAGAAGGUUUUCGGAUCGUAAAACUCUGUUGGUAGAGAAGAACGUUGGUGAGAGUGGAAAGCUCAUCAAGUGACGGUAACUACCCAGAAAGGGACGGCUAACUACGUG